UAAGAAAGAGAAAAAUGUUACCCUUUCUCUUUGGUAAUUAAAAUUCAUUUUUAAAGAAAACAUUUUAAUUUAAUUUGUAACAAAUUAUUAAAUUGUCUCUUUAUUAUUUUCUCCAAUGAUUAAUUAGCUUUGUUUACUUUUUGCUUAUGAUUAAUUAAGUAGAAAUUAUACAUAAUUGAUCAUAUUUAUCGACAUUUGUUUUCUAUUUAAUUGGUUUGUUUGUUUUCAUCACCUUUUUCUUUACUAUCCUGACUUGAAGAUUAUUUCUGAUUAUCAUGAAGAUGGAUCAUCUUGUGGUUAGAUCAUUUUUCAUCUCUCAUUUUUGGCUUCAAAUCAACGAUAAAUCAUUAACAACCAGUAAGUUUGUUCAUUUCAACAGUUUAUUGAUUAUCAUUUUCUAUCUCUUUCUCUUUUUUUGUUUCAUCUUUACCUGAAUUUUCUGGUGAUGGUAACCUAUUGGUUACCGGAAUAUAAAUCAAUUUGAUCUGGUUCAAUAAAUUGGACAACUUCUCAAAAGCGAAUAGUGUUUACCCAUCAAGAUCUCACCAAAUUGUCCUCUUUUUUGCUGUUGGUUUCUCUCUCUCUCUCUCUCUCCGUGAUCAGGUUAAAGUGAAAACCAAUAUAAAUUAUAUAAUUUAUCGUCUCUAUGAUUCUUCAACGAUUGCCAAAUUUUCUUCGGUUCAUGUAAUUCAUGCUCUUCAAAUUGCUCAUCUUAACUAACAUAUAAUAUACAGUUGAUAAAAUUGAUCUAAUGGAACGUGAACCUUUGGUCUUCGAUUGAGCGUAAUAACGGUGGUUUAUAAGAAAUAAUCAGUUCUAUGUCAAUUGUGAUGACCAGUUAUAACUUCAUCGAGCCUUUGUUUCUCUAACAUUGAACUAAUUCAUUAUCUUUUGUCUCACAAAUCUCAUUGAUCUGGGUUCUUUUUAAUUGAACGUCCUACAUUUUCAAUAAGAAUGAGAGUGUUUUAAUCGAUAAAAACUGCAAAUACAUUGGCACUGAUGGUACUAUUUUUUCCUCUUUUCAAUGUACUGUUUUUAAGUCUUUUUUUAUACAUCUUCAUGAUUCUCAGCAUCAGUAGUCACAACUGAUUGGAGUAACUGAUGAUUUCUUCAAUGAUCACCUCAUAAUGUCUAAAUGUUACCUGAUGAAUAUCGCUUGGAUGCAGUUAAUAUCUUUGUUCUUGUUUGAUAAGUUUACAGCUGAUGAUGUUAAUGGUUCUAAGGACAAUAAGUUAAUAACUGUUUUACCAGUAACAAUCGUCACUAUUAUCUUUCUUGAUAACUGUUCAAAUCAAACAUAACUGUUAGAUUUAUAUAAAUCAUUACAUGUGAUGAGAUUAACGGUUGGAUGAGUUAAAUUUGAAACCUCGAGUCCUCAUUGUUUGACAUUUAGUUCACCUUUAAAUACAUAACAAUGAAAAAUCCCAUCACAAAACAAAAAUGGAAACGUAAUCCACAAUACAUGGACUUUCAUAGUCAUAUUCGUAAUCUGAGAUCUUUGAAUUCUAAGAUUAUGAUUGCUGAAAUUUCUGAACUUUCAUCAAUACUUUUUACACGGUAAAACUUUCCAUGGGAACAUAGCUCAUCAUGAACUUAACGAAGGCGAGACUAUGACUAUGAUGUAAUAUCGAUAAACAAGAUCACUUGGAAGCAAGAAGAUGAUAAUCCAAUAAAGUCCAUGGAAAAUGUAUUAAGCAAAACACAAGGAUCAGGAAAACAAAAGAUGACAAUUAAGUCAGAAAGAAAACGAAUGAUGAGAAGAUAAAUCUGAUUACUCUUCUUAAUGGUUCGUUAAUCAACCAAAUUCUAUUCAAAUUACCGUUAAAUUCUUUAAUUAACUUAAACUAAUUGUUAGGUUAAGAGGUAGAAAAAAAGGGAAAGUUUCUGUUCCUUUUUCUCCCUCAUCUCAUUGAUUUUUCCAAUUUUUAUUCUUCAAAUAAUCAUGAUUAUCAUUGAAAGUUUUCACCAUGAACAUAAAUCCAGUUCAACAAAUGAGAAAACAAUAAGGUCAAAAAGUGAUGGAAAAUUAUAUUUAAUCAACUGUUUACAGCAAUUAAAUGGAUAAUCAAAGCGUCGAUGUUGAAAAAAUGAAGUAUUAUACUAGGAAAUGUUGAAUUUAAUCGUAAUUAACAAAUGAUUGUCAAUUGAUGGAGUUUAUUAUUUUGUUGAAGGCCAGAUAAUGAUGAAAAUUCAUGGCUGAUUGAUGAUCUGCUUCUUAAAAUCAUGAUGGUGAUGACAAUUAAUGAUGAUUCGCAUCAAGAAAUUGGAGACAACGAUAAACGAAGGAGACUGUUAAUACAAUUUAUGAUGAUCAUCAUUUAAAUCAAGAUGAAAUUAAAUCUGAUUUAUAUUUCUACUCUCAUAUGUUCACAUCCUGAGAAGAUUCAAUAAUGUUCAUCACAAAAGAAGAUUGAAAAUGUUACUAUUUUCCAAUUCAUGAUAAUACUGAGUAAACUUGAUGAAAUUGGAUUGUAUUACUUUCUCAUAGUAAUUAAAUUUCAUCAACAACAUCUCAUUGUCUUGAGUUUCAAUUUCAAUUUCAAUCUGAUGUAUAUACAAUACAAUCAUUAUUCAAAUCAGGAAUCAGAUUUUUUUUCUGCUAUUAAUACGUUUCUCUUUCUCAAUCUUAUCCCAACCCAUGGUAUAAACAUUUGACACUUUACCCUUGAGGCAAAUUUUACUACUUAUAUACUGUUGUUAAGGGUGAAAGGAUUGAUCAAUGGUUAAAUUGAUGAGAAGUAAACAGUAAAUUGUCAAUAAAAUGUAAUCUAUUUUGACAUGAGAAUAAAGAUAAACAAAGAAAUAAUUUUAACAAUGAUAAUAUUUACAGAGAAAAACAAAA